rnacentral:lncRNA from 1 species
UUAUUAUAAUGUAUCAUAAUGUUAAACCAUAUUUGUAUAAUAUAUCAUAAAAGUUUUGACAAAAAAAAAUUGUCAUCAAAUAUCUAACACAGUCAUUAUUCAAACAUAACACAUGAUUGAGGUUACAUGAAUAUUACUAAACAUGUUUACCCUUGAGUUCAUCCCAAACCACUCCAUUGUCACUGGUACUUGGGGUGUCUUUUUCUUCUUUUGGCUGAAAGUGUCAAAUAAGAUGAUAAUGAAAAUUAAAAUUUUCAAAUAAUAAUGAAAGAAUAUAAAAAUUGUGAGCACUUUCAACUACAACAAACCAUAAAAACCCAUAAUAGAUAUAUAAGUGCAUGAAUGAACAAUUAUCCUUUUCAUAGCCUUAAUCAUGAAUGCAAUCAUUUCAUGAAAGAAUAUUUAAUUCAUUCAAUCAUUUCAUGAGAUCUUUUCUUCAAAUAUAUAUAAUGAUAAUCUAAAGUUAUGUAUUUGUGUAUGUUGAAGUAUUCAGGGAAUUUAAAAAGAAAAAAUAAAAAGGAAGUAGUUCAACACAUUUAAAAUGAAGGUAUUCAAGUGUAUGAAAGUUAGCUAAACAUCUAGCUAAAUAUAAUUACCAUGCAUAAUCAAAAUGGCAAAUGAAUACUAUUAAAAAAAAUAGAAUCAUUCACAUUUCAAAAUAAUUAAAAUUAUACUUUGAUCACAUGGAUAUUUAUAUUAAAUAUAAGUCUAUAUUUAUUAUAAUCAACAUUACAAAAGAGAAAUAGAAAUUAUAUUAUUGAGAAUUGUGUGCUUAAAAUAUAAUUAUACCCUUAGAUAUUCAUGAAAAAAUUGUGUUGAAAGAAAAUAUUUCAUUUAUUAGUAUUUUUCAUGUCAUGCAUAAAAAAAAGUGAGUUAUACCAUUAAUCAAGUUUAACCCUAAUAAUGAAAAAUUAUUUUUUAAUAAUUAACUAACUGAAAUAUGGUAGUUUUUCUUUUUUAAGUUGGAUUGUGAAUGGCACAAAGGUUCAACCUAAACUAAAAAGAUGUAGAGUGAAUAGGUUUUAUCACAAAGGUUCAACCUAAACUAAAAAGAUGUAGAGUGAAUAGGUUUUGUAAAAGCAUAAGCUAGUUAACUUGAAAAAUGACAUCUAAUAAAUGAGUAAAUUUUUAUUGUAGAUUUUCGUAAACAACAUAAUAAUCAAUUUCAAUAUAUUCAAUCAUCUAAUGAAAAGAGGAAAAAAUGGAUUAUUAGCAAGAUAGAUGAUUGAAUAAUUGUCACAACAAGAUGUUGAUGUUCAAUUAAGAAAGUCAAUAAAUCUUACAACUAAAGUUUGACAAGGUUCAAGACUCAUCUUCUAAUAAAGAAGAAUAAAAGAUUCUAAUUUGAUUCUUAUAUUAUCAAGAGAUUAAAGAAAAAUCAAGAAGCACAUAAUAUUCAACAAUAAAUUUUCUUGUGUCCAAACAACAAGUCUAAUCAGAAUAUACAAAGUUUGACAACUUAAGACCAGAAGAAGUUGCAAAGAAUAAUCAUGUACCAAGAGAAUAUGUUAAGUACCUUAAAUUUUUUAUAGCAAUCUUAAAAUAAGUACAUAGAGACCUUGAAACAAAUUUACUAAGUUAUGACUAUAAGAAAUGCCAAGUAAUGUAUUUGUCAACAUACAAUAAUCUACUUACUAUUCUUUUCUAAGUUUCCUCAUUUGGUGAAGGGUGUAAAAGGUGUUGAGUUGGUUUAGCAACCAUUAAAACACUAUCCUUCAACAAUGCCAUUAUGUAUUUCCUUUAUUAAGAAUUAUUUCUACUUUAGAUCUAAUAAGCUUAACAUCAAUAAAAUACCUUAGAGUACCUAAAUCUUUAAUUAUGAUACUACAAUUUAGGAUUAUUUUUUUUAACACUAGUAAUUUCUUAAUAGCAUCUCCUUCCAAUACUAUGUCAUCAACAUUAACUACUAAUGUUGUAAAAGAUUGAAGUAGAUUUCACAAAUGGUGAAUAAUCAACAUUGGAUAACUUACAAUUGAAAGACAAAAGAGUACUAGAUAAUUUGGAAUGUCAUUGUCUACUAACUUGUUUUAGGCCACAAAGAGACUUUCAGUAAGCUUACAAACCUUGGAAGACCCUUAAACUUUAAGACCAAGUGGAACAACCAUGUAUACCUCUUCAUGUUAUUUUCCAUCGAGAAAACAGUAUUCACAUCUAAUUAUUCUUAAAACCAAUUUUUAGUACAACUAAAGCAAGUAAAACUCUCACGGUGGUAAGCUUUGCAACAAGUGAGAAAGUAUAAAAACAAUUCAUUCUUCCAUGUGUGUGCAACUUUUGACUAUUAAUCUAGCUUUGUACCUUUCAAUACUGUCAUCAAAUUUAUGCUUAAUUUUGUACACCCAUUUGUGGCAAAUGAGAUUUUUUCCUAUAUAAAGACCAACAAUGGUCCAUGUUUGAUUUUGUUCUAGUCAGAUAACUCAAUGUUCAUAGCCUUCUACCAACAAUCCAAUUUUAAGGUUGAAGAUAAAAAGUUAUUAUAGACAAUUGAACAAUUAUCAUAUGUAAGAAAAAAAAAGAGGAUGAAAAAGUAUGUUUGGGAUGAGUUGAAAGCGUUAAAUACAGAUAAAGAAAAAUAAUAAUUUGAUAAAUAUCUAGGUUGAUGACUAACUCUAUUUGAUCUUCUUAACAAUAGUUUUGAAGGUUGCUAAAUAGUAAAACUUAAAUUGAUCGUGUGAUGUUAUUAUUUAAUGAAGGUGGGACAAGUUGAAUAGAUGAAUUUGUGUCAAGUUUAAUAAGAAGUUAAUAUUAGGAAUUAAAGCAUGUGGAGAUGUAAGAAAGGAUGGUAGCAAAAUGGAAAAAUAAGGUGGAUGUGUGAUAGUAUGGCCAUUUUGCAGGGCACGAUUGAAAAGGAAAAACAAUUUUAUAGAAAAUCAUGCUUUUAGAAACUCAAAAUUGAUUAGACACAAUGUCGUAUAAAAUGUAUCCUCUAGUACCUAUUUUAUAGCCUAAAAAUAUAAUGGUUUAUUAUAUAGUAGCUCAUAGAAAAACUUGUUUAGCAAUAAAGGAGUUAAUAAAGAAUUAUAAAUAAAUAACAUGUUGAAUACUAAAAUUCCAAUUUUUUUUUUAUGUAAAUGAGCUAAAUAAAAUAAAUCACAAGUAACAUUAAGAAAUUAUUAAUGUUUUCUUUUAAUUUCCUUUUGUUCAAGAAGUUAGAAAAUAUUUAUGACCGGAUAAAAAUGGUAUAAAAUAAGUCAGAUAUGAGCAUGUAAAAAAUCAGAUAUUUUAUUUGACUUUAUGUCAAUGAUACAAUAUGUCACUUCUUUGCCUAGUAAUAUCACAAACAUUACAUGGAAAAUUAUCUUUGUUAUAGUAAGGCAUAAAAGGAAAUUUUGUAGAAAUGAGUUUCAAUUUGAAAUUUGAUACAUGACUUGAUUAAGGUGCUAAAGUGAAAAGUUUCACACUAAUUAAAAUCAGAUAGGAAGAGGUAAAGUUCUAAUUUAUUGUUGAAUUUAGUAGAUAUAACACAAAUAAUUCAUCUAGCAAUUUAGCUAAAACAAUCAUGUUCUUUUUGAUGUUCUAUAGAAUGACACAAAUUGUGUCACAAAAAACCAGACAACCAUUAAGAUAAUGAAUCAACCUAGUUACAAAAAAUAAGUUUACAUAAAAAAUUUGGCACAUCAAGAAUAUUAUGUAAGGAAAAAGUAUGAGAUAUUCUAGUAGUUCCUAACAUAGAGAUAGGGACUUAGAAACCAUUAGGUAAAGUAACAGGGACAAAGAGAUAAACUUGUUAUUAGUAAGGUUCUUAAGAUUGAUGUGGUUAAUAAAACAUAUAUCAAUAACUCAUUGGUAAUUGGUUUUACCUUGUCUAGAGGGAAAGCUAAUUGUGUUUAUACAAGGUAUAAGUGACACAAAGUUGGUAACAUGAUUGAUACUUUGUUUGAAUUUUUAGAGAAGAUCUAAAAUUCCUUGAAAAUAUUUUAAAGGUAAAGUUCAUUAUUGGCCUUGAAAUUUCCUGAUGAUAAGCUUUUUCAUAUGCAUGUUUGAAGGAAGGACAUUGCUACUAGUGACAUUUUUUAUCUAAUAAACUUAGAUUAAUAUCUUAGGUGGAAAUUCAUGUUUGAGAUGACAAGUAUUUAUGAUGUGAUUAAUUUACCACAAUGUGUGCACAACCUGUUUGAUGUUGUCCUUUUCCUCCAUUAUUUAUUCCCUUUCCUUUAAGGAAAAUUUUGUAUCUCUUAAAAGAAGUUUUAUUUCCACUAUAUGACUUAUUAGAAUAAGCAACAAUCAUUACUUUGGAGUUAGAUAUAAAAUGAGUCAAUAUAGGAAUGCUAAAUUAUCUUUCUUGUUGAUUAAUUAGGAAGGGGAUCAUUCAACAUUAUUUGGGAUUCUACAUGAGAAUAUUGAUCAUUCAUACCCUUGAGGACAUAAGUUACAUAAUCUUUCUCUAUAAAAUUUCUCAUAUAUGGUAUAACACCACAAGAAUGAGCUUUGGAACACUUGCAUUAAGGAAUAAGUCUUAAAUUCUCAAGUUCAUCCUAAAUUGUCUUCAUCUCAGUAAAAUAUUCAAAAAUUAUGAGAGAUCAUUCGUUGGACCAAUACAAAUAUUCUCAAAGUUAUGACUUUCUAAGACCUAUCUCGAAGAUCUUUUCACACAUUUGAGGCUCGAUCAAUCCAAUGAAUUGAUUUCAAAAUUUAUGUGAAUAUUGAGUGAUGAAACCAAGAAAUAACCAUAUUAUUACAAUACUCUUAUACUCUAUGAAGCAAAUAUGAUUUCAAUGGUGAAUAUGAUUUUGUUCUUUACUACAACAUUUUUGGCUUUAGGCAACACAAAAUUUACAACAGGUAUAAAAUCAUGGCCUAAACUGGAAAAUACAACGAUUUUUUAAAUGUUGCUUAGGUUACAAAUGUUUUUCCAAUCUUAUAAAAUAAGUGUCAUUGUACAAAUCCAAGACUAAUGUUGCUAAUAUUUUAAAGAAAUAUAAAGUAUUGGUGUAAAAUCAAAGUGGUUGUAGAUUUCAAACAAUAAGAUUUUGAUAUAGGAAAUCAAUGCACAAAUGAUGGUUUAGAUAAGUUGUGUGAAGUAGCUAAUAUUGAGCACUAAUUCAUUAAACCUUACACCCCUAACAAAGUGGUGUAAGUGAAAGAAAAAAUAUAUAAGUAUAAUAGAACUGAAAAGAUAUAUGAUUCAUGAAAUGGAGUUACCAAAGAGCUUAUGGACAAAGACUAUAAAUAUUAUGACAGUAUUGUUGAAUAGACUACUUACAAGAGUUUUGCAUAGAAAAAAUCCAUUUAAAGUUGGUUUGGUUACUAACUAGAUUUACAAAAUAUAAAAUUGUGUUAUAACCUAAAUAGUUUGAAGAAGUUGAGAAUGAUGAAAAUUUGAUAAAUGUAAUGAAGUAAGAGCUAAAGAUAAUUAAAAACAAUGAGACUUGAGAGAUAGUGGACAAGACUCAACACAAGAAAUCUAUAUGAGUCAAAUGGUGUAUAGAACCAAACUUGAUUAAGAUGGUUCCAUGAAUAAAUAUAAGACCAGGUUGGGGUGAAAGAAUGUGUCCUAAUGUUUGUAGUGAAUUUUCUAUAAACAUUUAAUCUAGUUGCACACCCCAAUUAAAAUGUCACUUGCCUUGAUUGUACAUAAAUGUUAGAAAAAUGAUUAGAAUUAAAAUAUAUUUUUCUAAAUGAUUAUUUUCAAGAGGAGAGCAAAGUAACUUGAGAAAAUUCAGAUCAAUGGAGAGGAGGCUAAAUUUUAGAAGUUGAAAAAAAAAACUUAUAUAGUUUUAAGUAAGACCCAGUAUAUUAAGAUAAAUAAUAAUCUUCAUAGUCUUGUAUUGGUCAAAAAGUUCAAGUGAAACUCAUUAUAUGUGAAGUUGGUAAAUACAAAUUUAAUUAUUAUUGUUGUCUAUAUAUUAUUUACGUGUGACAUGAAAUGAUGAUAAACUCACAAAAGAGUUGAAAGUUGAAGUGAUCAAAGUAUUUGAAAUAUAAAACUUUGAUAUAAUGAAUUUUUUUUCUAAGGUAUAAAGAUGAAAUAAGAUCAUAAUGAAAUCUUCAUUUAAAAAAAAAUCAAGAAAAAUACUAAAAAUGUUAAUUAGAGAGAUCACAUAUCACUACAUCUCCAAUAAACAAAGAAGAAAUUUAGCAAGAAUAAUAAAAUUGGUCAAUUUGAUAAAAAAAAACAUAACCUCACUUGUGUCAUUGUUAUGUCAAUAUAAAAGAAAAAUUAUAUAUUAAUUCUUACAAACGUCUCACAUUCUAAAAAGAGGUGAAUAUCAAUUGUACAAAUUCUUUUUUGAAAAAUAAUCUAAAAUUGAGAAAAAAUACCUUAAUAUUUUCAUGAAUCUUCUUUCUUUGUUUCUUGAUCUCUUUUUCUUGUAAAUGAACCUUCUCUUCUAUCUGUGUGUCUUCUUCACUAUCAUCAUUGAUUAUUUUAGGCUAUUCAAAACAAACAAAAAAUAUGGAAAAAAAUGAUGAAUUAUUCAAAAUAAUGAUCACUUUCAAUCUUCCAACAAUAAAUAUCUAAAAUCUUGGUAGCUAGUUACAUACUAAUUUAUAAAUUAUUUUAUAAAUUUUAUUAAUAAUAGAAACUCCUUUAGAUAUCAAUAAUUUAUUUAGUCUCUAAAAUAUUAUAUAAUGUAGUCAAUAUAGUGACUAAUUGAUUUUGUCUCUUAAGUUGAUUUUUAUUUAAUGAUUUUCUUAUAGUGAAACUUUCAUAAAAUUCAAUAUUAAUGUUACUAAGAAAAAUGUUGGAGUAACUAAUUAGUUGAGAAAGAGAUACUUAUACUAUAUAAUGAAUUUAUCAUGCCAUAUUGAACAUGAAAGUAUUAAACUUCAAAAUAACACUUAAUAGUCUAAUUUAUCUAGCAAACUUGUCAAUAGAUUCAAAAUAACACUUAAUAAUCUAGUUUAUCUAGCAAGUUAAUAGACUCAAAAUAGUAGUUAUAAUAAACUUUAAUAUAAUUUUAAUUUUUUAUUUAAAUAUAACUUAAUCUUAAAACACCAACCAUAGGAAAAUAAGAGAUGUCCCUACUUAUGUUUGUAUUGUAGUUUGGUUAGAUACUAGGUGAUGUGGAAAUUUCUACCAACUAAGCCAAUUCUUUUUAUUGAGGUUGGUUAAUGAAACAUAAAUCAUAAACCCAUUCUAAUACAAAAUUCUUAUUACAAUAUCAUUAAAAGAGAUAAAAAAAAAGAGUUACAAAUGUAAUUCAUAAAUGAGAUCUCUAAGAUAAAUUGAAUGGUUGAAAUUUUCAUGGUAACAUAACAAGAUUAUACAUUAACACCAAAAUUUUAUGGAUGCAACAAUAGGUUGAAAGAAAUUAAGUAAAUACUAACUCAAAUUUGUUAUAUAUAUAUUUUUUUUCAUUAAUAUUUCUUUUUGUUUCUCUCUAUAGAUAAGAGAGAUCUUAGAAAAGUGUAGAUAAGAGAGAUCUUAGAAAAGUGUAGAUAAAAGAUAUCUUAGGGGAGUUUUUGAUUAGAUUGUCUUAUAAAAUGAUAUUGAUCAUCAACAUUUUUACAAAUCUACAUUUACAUUUUAUAUCGUCGAAUCCUAACUCUAAUUCUAACAUGUUUAGAAUAAGUAUAGUCUCACAUCAGUUAGAACUAACAUUCAAUUACCUUUUAUAAAAUCUUACCAUUCCUAUUUUACAAUCGGUUUCCCCCAAAUUCGAAUAGAAGAUAUCUUCAUUAUUUUUAAUAAUGUUGAUCUCACAUUCAAAUAUGCAUAAAUCCAAGUAAAGAUCAAAGCAACAUAUAAAAAAAAAUAUAUCCAUUGGAACUAUAUAAAAAAAAUUAUAUAUUAACACAUCGAGAUGUAUUUCAAAAAUUCAAAUCUUAAAAAUAACCUAAUUAAAUUUAUAUAAAAUGAAAAUUAAUUUAAACCAAUUUUAGUAAAGAGGAAAGAAUUACCUUGUACGAAAUGAUUUCAGGUGUUUGUGGUGGAGUCAAUGGUGGAAUUAUGAUUUGACGAUGAUGGCGACGACGACGACGAAAGUACUUUAUCCUAAAAAAAAUUAAGUUAAAUUUAAAGAACAAAGAACAAAGUGACAUAAAAGAAAAAUAAAGAAAAAAGUGACACUAAAGAAAAAUAAAGAUGUAUAUGAGUACCCAAAUCUUCUAUCAUUGCUUGCUUGAUGAGCUUCCAUUUUUAACCUCAAGAAAGGAGAGAAGAGAAACCUGAGCUUAAAAC